UAAAAAAAAAAAAAAAAAAAAUCUGUUUCACCGUUUGACUACUUUUGAAUUUGAAAUAAUUGGCAUCUUGCAAGUGAACCAUUCAUGUUGUUCUGAAUAAUGUUGAUAACUCUUUCCUUGAUUUCCUGGUUAUUACAUGCUUAUCAAGAUAAUUAUUGAAUAUUGAAUGUGAACACCAUAGGCUUCAUAAGCAUUGUGAUGCUGUAUGGUUGGAUGUGGAACCAAACAAUUUGAUGAAUGAUGGAGCCUACUAAAACAUGAGGUGUUGUACUGUUUGGAAAUAUGUGAUUAGGAAGGGAAUUAGCAUCAUUGCCUGAAACUGCAUAGGCUGGUGAAGUCUUUUGGUGGUUUUAUCUGCCUGUAAUUUAGGAAGUAAACCAAGUAGUCUGGUAAUCAUUUUCUUGCACUAUUGAUUAUCACUACCGUAACUGUGAAGAUUAGAAGAUGAUGCACUGAAAUUUGGAAGACUGUUUCUUUGGUUGAUGUUAGCAAAAAAUGUUGUUUAUCUGGGAGGUUGUCCAGAUCCAAACUUGCCCAAAAUCAUGUAAACAUGUAUUAUGUAAUAAUAUGUAUAUAUAGAUUCAUGCAUGUUACAUAUAUUCUCUGCCCUUUUAUUCCUUUUAUUUAGCUUCCAGGCAGAGGUUGCUUUUUCUCAUUCUUAGUGUUGGAGGUAGAAGAAAAUUCAAAGCUGAGAUCUCCCAUCACUAAUUCCAGAGUCUUGAUGGAAUCUGUGUCCUCAUUGCAAGUGGGAACCCCUUGUGUACAUUUUUGUGGAGAGAAUCUGCCAUUUGGGCUGGCAUGCCCAGCAAACCAAACUAUCCCUGUGUAAUAAUGUAGCUAAUUUGAGGAACAAGGUGUAAAACUGUAAAUUGGUGGAAACUUUGUUAUUGAGACAAGCUUCUGUGUGGUGAAAUUCUAAGAUGAAUUUGAUUUACUAUGAACAUUAUACAUUCGGGUCCG
rnacentral:misc_RNA from 1 species